rnacentral:rRNA from 1 species
UACGUAGGGUGCAAGCGUUGUCCGGAAUUAUUGGGCGUAAAGAGCUUGUAGGCGGUUUGUCGCGUCUGCUGUGAAAUUUCGGGGCUCAACCCCGAACUUGCAGUGGGUACGGGCAGACUAGAGUGUGGUAGGGGAGACUGGAAUUCCUGGUGUAGCGGUGAAAUGCGCAGAUAUCAGGAGGAACACCGAUGGCGAAGGCAGGUCUCUGGGCCGCUACUGACGCUGAGGUGCGAAAGCGUGGGGAGCAAACAGG